AGGAGGGGGAAAGGCACCAACCAGCAGCCGCUCCAGCCCUGCCGAAGUUUCACUUUUUGUCUGUGGGUCCGCUCCCAGGCCCCGCGCGAGCUUUCCCGGGAUAAGUAGCGAUAGCGAGCAGGGGAGAGCCGGGCGCUGCAAGACACCAGCAUUGCAAUUUGCUGAACCUUGUGUCCACUGACCAUUCCAAGAGCUAGCUAUCUGAGUUACAGAUUCCAACAAUGUCUCACCCAUCUUGGCUGCCACCCAAAAGCACUGGCGAGCCCCUUGGCCAUGUGCCUGCGCGGAUGGAGACCACCCAUUCCUUUGGGACCCCCAGCAUUUCAGUGUCCACACAACAACCACCCAAGAAGUUUGCACCGGUAGUUGCUCCAAAGCCCAAGUACAACCCAUAUAAGCAACCUGGAGGUGAAGGUGACUUUUUUCCACCCCCGCCUCCGCCUUUAGAUGAUCCUGGUGCUCUUCCAUCCAGCCCUGGAAACUUCCCUCCUCCACCACCACUUGAUGAAGGUGCUUUCAGGGCAC